GGACUACAAGGGUAUCUAAUCCUGUUUGCUCCCCUUGCUCUCGCGCCUCAGCGUCAGGAGUUAAGCUAGAAAACCGCUUUCGCCACUGGUGUUCUUCCACAUAUCUACGCAUUUCACCGCUACACGUGGAAUUCCAUUUUCUCCGCCAUUCCUCUAGAUUUGGAGUUUCAAAUGCAGCUCCGAAGUUGAGCUUCGAAAUUUCACAUCUGACUUUCAGAUCCGCCUACGCGCCCUUUACGCCCAAUAAAUCCGAUUAAUGCUUGCACCCUCCGUAUUACCGCGGCUGCUGGCAC
rnacentral:rRNA from 1 species